ACCACUAAGCCACUUCUCCACCCACAAGGAGUUUAACAAAGUAAUGCUAACAGAGUCCAUCUAGAGGAAUACUAGAAGAGCCCACUGAAUGUUAGCGGUGGCUGUGACUGGAUACAAUGUAUGGGUACAAAAGCUAACAAGGGAUACUUUAUCCCAAGAGAAACUAGCGUCAAUGCUCACAACUUGAAGAAUGAUUUCAGCUCUCCUCCAGACCACCACGCCAGCAUUUACCCUACAAGCCCUGCAGUGUGAAAUUUAGAUAGCACAGUAUCUGGAUCAUUUUCUGUUUCCUUUAGUGAAGGUGGAUGAUAACGCCAUCACUGCAUGGGGGAUGGGCUGCGGAGAGUGCUGGCUAUCUGCAGAGAGCGCCCCUGAAAUACCCCUGGACCCUGAGACAGUUGAAGAAUCAGAAAGUCUGAGGAUUGAUCGAGAAGAUCUCUAGCCUUUAAUACUAGUGGCCCUGGACACCGGCAGGCAGACUUACUUCAUGGAGGAGAGGAGAGUCUCUGUCUUUGGGUCCACUAGUGUCCUCAGAGAACAGCGUUUGAGGAGACAGGGGGAAAGUCCUGCCUAAAAGAACUGCACA